rnacentral:lncRNA from 1 species
UAAAAGAAAAGUGAGAAACAAUGUAUAGAGUUGAAUGUGUCACAGCUUGUCAGGUUCAUAUACCUGAGACACAUAUAAGGUGCAAACAAAACAUGCGUCAUCCAUCUAUCACAGAAGCUAUCACAACCGCAUUAUAUUCAAAAUCAGAAUCCAUGAAUUUUCCGGGAAAAGGAUUUGAGGUUGGGUGAAGUGUCUGACAAAGAAAAAUGCAAUAUAUAGUUGCAUAAACUCCGGUAGGAGAUUGUAGAUCCAAUGCAAUUAUAGAUGAAUUUAUGUGUCUCUGUUCUAAACGGAAAUAUUUUGGUAGAGUUUAUAAAAAAUCCUCAAUAUUGCCAUGAAAAACAUCAGCACAUGAGAUGUUUCAUCACGCAUUGCUGUUUUUUGUGACAAUGUUGGGUUAUAAACUUCAUCAUAAUUUCCUUUAAUUAGGGCAUAGACACGUAAAUGCAUUUAUAGUUUUGUUGGACCGACAUUCUGCCCCGGAUUUUGUGCAAUUAUCACAUUUAUCUUCAUCGACACUUCACCCAAUCUCAAAUAUUCCUUUUCCUACAGGAAAAUUAUGGAUUCUAAUUUUGAAUGUAGUUGUAGUCAGAGAUUGAUGCAUGUGUAAUGGUAAGGGAGUAAUUUUCCCGUAACAUUUCUCACUUCUAAUACAUAUAUGCUAUAUUAUAUAUUGUAUGGUUAGAGUGUUAAGUAUUUAACUGCUCCCACAAAAUAAUAAAUUUCCUCAUUCCUUUACAUUUUCGGUUCUACAUAUAUAUCUUUACAAUUGAUAAUUAUGAAAUUAAUCACUCGAGACUCUAAGAUUAAAUUAAGUGAUUCGACAUCUUCAAACAAAUGCUCCCAUGCCCUCAAAAUUUUACUUUCUCUAAAAAGUUCAAACUUUUUACUUUAUUUACUUCUAUCAUGUCUUCCAAGAAAAACUUUUUUAUGAUUUUUGUGAUCAUUUGAGCAGAGCUUCCAAAAGAAGAAUAUCUGAGUAAUUAUUUUUUCCUCAACCUUAGUCACUUGAUAAAAAAAUUGGGUAAGUUCAUGAAAAAAAAAACAUAUUUUUGGAAUUUCACAGAGAGAAACUUACUAUUAAUAUUCAUAGACAUAAGUUAUGAUAUAUAUAUAUAUAUCAACACAGAAACUAUCACAACCGGGACGGAUCCAAAUUAAAAAUUCUAGCUUGUGAGGGCAACAUAUACAUAUUAAUCUAUCGCAUAAAAAGUAUAACAUAUUAUUGUCAAAAGUUUGAAUAUAUAUAUAUAUGUUUGGAAAUUAUAAUACUACCAUAGCUAAAAGUUUAUGUGUACUGUUCUGCAUAACAAUGCAUAUUAAUGGCAAAUGGAUGGAAGACCCAUGGAGCACAAGAGGUUCUUCCCUUCGGAUCAUAAAGUGAUCAGAAGCACUGAAGCAGCAGUGAAACAACAGGCUGCUAUUUGUACGAGACUCUCAUAAGAUGGAAUAAUCCUAUGUCAUAUAUAGAAUUAGCUCAUGUUACUUUUCUGUUGUUGAAAGUGUGGUUGGUUAAAUUGUUUCAACUUUAAGCUUAGAAAUCUUUGUUAGACUUAGACUUGGAUGAUUGUGGUUGAUGUUGAACGAGUUAUGAACUUAUGAUACAUACACACUGACACACACCUCCAC